CACCCGAUGACUGAAUAUAAGUGCUGGUCUUUUAAACCUGUUAUAGUAGAUACUACUUCUGGUGA
rnacentral:tRNA from 1 species